rnacentral:rRNA from 1 species
UACAGAGGUCCCAAGCGUUGUUCGGAUUCACUGGGCGUAAAGGGUGCGCAGGCGGUCGGAUAAGUCUGACGUGAAAUCUCCGGGCCUAACCCGGAAACUGCGUUGGAAACUAUCUGGCUAGAGGAAUGGAGGGGAGACUGGAAUACUUGGUGUAGCAGUGAAAUGCGUAGAUAUCAAGUGGAACACCAGUGGCGAAGGCGAGUCUCUGGACAUUUCCUGACGCUGAGGCACGAAAGCCAGGGGAGCAAACGGG